UCCUUCUUAGCUGAGUUGGUAGAGCGCAGAAGCUAACUGAUGACGAGGUCAGUCGUUCAAGUCGGCUAGAAGGAA